AUGUUGAUUGUUUUGUAUUCUAGUUUUAAGAUGCCACGAGGGUCAACAAUAACAACCUGUGUGGGCUGCAAAGCAGCUAUUGGUGUGGCCACCAAGACCUGCAAAUAUUGCCAGUCUGUACAGCCAAGAAAGCAAAGACUGGCAAAAAAACUUAAGAAUUUUGAGGACAGAAAGGAGAAGUGGUUAAAAAACCAAACCAAAAACCAAACCACCUCUCAUGUUAUUGAUGAGGCAUCUGUCUUGGUCGAAAAGUUAAACACAUUGGGGUACAAGGCCAUAGUCUUCAUUGGAAAGAAAACAAAGAAACAGAAAACCUGGUCCGCACAAGUCCUCCAGCCAAAAUGGCAGCUGUCAGACCAUUCUGCAAAAUGCCUGGACAGGAUGAAGGCUCUUUAUGAACUGUUAAUUGAUGGUUGUACUAACCAGCAGCCCGCCACCGGUCCUCCUCCCAUCCAGUCCACCACCAGUCCUCCUCCUCCUCCCAUCCAGUCCACCACCAGUCCUCCUCCUCCUCCCAUCCAGUCCACCACCAGUCCUCCUCCUCCUCCCAUCCAGUCCACCACCAGUCCUCCUCCUCCUCCCCAUCCAGUCCACCACCAGUCCUCCUCCUCCUCCCAUCCAGUCCACCACCAGUCCUCCUCCUCCUCCCAUCCAGUCCACCACCAGUCCUCCUCCUCCUCCCAUCCAGUCCAUCACCAGUCCUCCUCCCAUCCAGUCCACCACCAGUCCUCCUCCUCCUCCCAUCCAGUCCACCACCAGUCCUCCUCCUCCUCCCAUCCAGUCCACCACCAGUCCUCCUCCUCCUCCCAUCCAGUCCACCACCAGUCCUCCUCCUCCUCCCAUCCAGUCCAUCACCAGUCCUCCUCCCAUCCAGUCCAUCACCAGUCCUCCUCCCAUCCAGUCCAUCACCAGUCCUCCUCCCAUCCAGUCCAUCACCAGUCCUCCUCCUCCUCCCAUCCAGUCCAUCACCAGUUGUCCUCCUCCUCCCAUCCAGUCCAUCACCAGUCCUCCUCCUCCUCCCAUCCAGUCCAUCACCAGUCCUCCUCCCAUCCAGUCCAUCACCAGUCCUCCUCCAAUCCAGUCCACCAUCCAGCUCACCACCAGUCCUCCCAUCCUACCCCUCACAGAACCACCUCAGCAGAAACGAAAUAUGUCUGCAAACAAUAA
rnacentral:lncRNA from 1 species